UAAGACUUAGGAGAGAGCCGUGUGCGGUAAUUUGUGUUCGUAAGCUGAGUGCUGCAGGAAGUACAAAAUAGCCCUCAGAGGAAGAAGGAAGGCCCCAGCAGUAGUAAACACGUGCGAGGAUAAUACAAUUCAUUUCACUAAACCUCAUGAAAGAUGCCUGCUGGACAAAUCAGUACUACUCAUACAAGCAGUGGCAUGGGCAUGAAUAACCCAUGGCUUAAAGGGCUCCUCGGAACUUCACAUAUCACAACCAGCCAGCAUCAUCAGCAAGGAUUUGAAGGGUGUGCUUCUGGAAAAGCACCACUGGUGUUCUACAAAGCCCAGAAACAGAAUUCCAAUUUGACAGUUUGUUCCAAUAUUGGUCGGUAAGGCAGAACAGAGGUAAGUGAAGCUUUGAGUUAAUCCUAACGCAAGUGGUGAGUUUGUACAGC